CAGAGGGGCCAUUGAGUGAAGCUGUGAAGGUGAAAUCUGGAUUUCCUCGGAGACCCCAAGAGGUUAGAGAUGCCAGAGCUGUGGGAUAUCUGUCAAGGAAAGCUGCUAACAGGGAGUGGAAACAGCUCAAGAGAAAGAAGUGUGUUUCAGUCAACAAAGCUGAAAGGAGUUGGAAGUCUGAAGAACAUUUUGACAUCAGACAUGGAGAUCCAGAAUUUGGAGUUUGGUUUUUGGUCUUGCUUUGGUUGAGUAUUUCCUCACUGUGUUUGUUUUUCCUAUAGUUUGAAAUGAUAAUGUAUAUCUUUUGCCAUUAUAUAUUGGAAGUAUGUCAUCUUUUUUAAUUUUAAUUUUAUAGGGGGUUACAGUGAAGAGAAUGCAUGCACAUCAGAAGAGACUUUGAACUCUGAACUUUAGAACAUUGUAGAGACUGUGAUAGACUAUGGGGACUUUUGAAGUUGGACUAAAUACAGUUUGCAUUAUAUUGUGGCUACAAAUCUAUCAGGGCCAAGAAGUGGAAUGUGGGGGGUUGAAUAAGUACGACUCCAUGGAUUCAUGUGUUUUAAUGCUUGACCCAUAGAGAAUGGCACCAUUAGAAAGUGUGGCUUUGUUGGAAGAAAUAUGUCACUGGGUAGUCAGGCUUUGAGGUCUCCUAUGCUCAAACUCUGCCAGUGGGACAUUAUCCUGCUGUCUUUCAAUCAAGAUGUAGAACUCUUAGCGUCUCCAGCACCAUGUCUACCUGCAGUGCACAUGACUUCUAGCCAUGAUGACUGUGGAACUUCAGUCUCCACUUCUAUCUCAUGUCGUUGCAUUGUUAAUUGUGUCCAAUCAUAGCAGACACAAUUGUGCAUAGCAGAUACAGUUGUGCAUAGCAGAUACAACUGUGCAAACUGUGUAACACUUGAUAAUGAGAGCAAAGGGCUGUUACCAAGUUUCAUCCUUGCUGCACUAUGCCCCUUAUGAUUUCUUAGAGUGUACUUUUAUGUAUCAAAAGAGUUUUGAACAGCAGAAGCCUCACACACCUGGUUACAGUGUCUUUUGAUUGCUUUAAUGAAUCACAUCCAGAAACUGAUGUUUCUGGUUUAUGUAUCCUCUGAUCUUCUCAGAGACAAACAUGUUUAUCAAGUAAGGUGUGUUCCAAUGUCAAUAGACUCUUGGCUGAAGACUUCUCAUCUCUCAGAAGUUGCUUACAGUCUGAUAUGCCCACUAAGUUCUUGUGUUACUAUUCCCACUUAGCUCUGAGUUAUGAAGCACCUUUGUGGCUGUCUGGAAGCAAUUUUGUUUUCCUGUUUGAUGACCUUUUGUAAGUCUUAACUUUAGCCUUUGUCUUCUUAGUCUCCAAGAAGCAUGCAACUAGUUCAUAGGUGUUACUCAGCAAGGACAUUAGCAAGUUUCUAGAAGGCAGCAGAAAGAGAUCUGGACUGUGGAGCCCAGGCUUUGCUUAGUCAGUAACUGUGAAACACAGGGCCAUUUAUUGAUCACUCUAGGGUCAGCCUCAUUACAAGGGAAGCAAGAUUAUCUUUGACAUUCUACAAAAGGAAUGAUCUCCCAGUAUGACCUUAGCUUUAACAAAGAUAUUUAUUUUUAUUUUAAAAUUGUGUGUGUGUGUGUAUGUGUGUGUGUGUGUGUGUGUGUCUGUCUGUCUGAGGGAGAGGGGUGCCAUGAAUGUAUUGUCUUCAAAGGCCAGAAGAGGGCCUUACAUUCACACGGAACUGGAGUUAUAGACAGUUAUAACCUGCUGAUAUGUGUGCCGGGAAUUGAACUCCAGUCCUCUACAAGAGCAGUAUAUACUCGAAACUGCUCAGCUACUUCUGCAAUCCAGUUACUUAGCUUUAAAAAUGCAUUUCUGGACAACUCCAUACAUGUGUAUAAUAUAUUUUGAUCAUAUCCACUUCCAUUAUCCCUCUUUUUCUUUUCUUCCUUCCUCCCUUUAUCCUUUCUUUCUUUCAUCUCUUUCUUCCUUCUUUCCUUUCUUCCUUUGUGUAAGAGUGAUUUGCUCACACGUAUGUCUGUGAACCAUGUAUGUGCCUGCUGCCUAUGUAGGUCAGAAGAGAGUAUGGGGUCCCCUAGAGCUCAGUUACAGAUGGCAUGAACUACCAAGUGGAUGCUGGGAAUUGAUCUCCGGUCCUCUAGAAGAAUAGCAAGUGGUCCAAAGAGCCCAUCUCUCCAGUCCCACACUACCCUCUUUUUUCUCCACCCACUUCCUUGGAAUACCCAUUUCUUCCCAUCUAGUUCAUCUCCUAUGUUCAUGUCUUUGGUUUUUGUUUUGUGACCUACUGACUUUGAUUAGGGUUGCUAGCAGGAGCAUGGUUAAUGGAGCUUAUUUACUAGAGAAACGGCCACUAGCUAGUGGCUGCAUUACUGAAAAAAAUGACACUUCCCCCCUCCCCCAAUUCAUCAUGGAGUGUUGAUAGGCCCAUUCUCAUUCAGUAGUCUAAUCAUCACUUCACUGGUCUUAGUCGUGUCUGUGAUUUCAGAGUUAAAAGUCAGGAAACCAUUACCAUGCUAUGUCUUUCGAAUGUACCUUACCUCCUAUCUGGAUCCAAUCCCUUUCUGCCUCUCAGUAGAAAACAAACACGUUUCUGGAGGAUAGCAUUAGAAUAUAUUAUUAAGAUAAAACAAAAAUAAAUCCAGAUAGGACAAAACAAACAGAAGGAAACGAUCCCAAGAAAAGGCGCAAGAAACAGAGAUGUAGAGACUCACUCACACACUAUGGAAUCCCAUGAAAACACAAAACCAGAAACACACACACACACACACACACACACACACACACACACACACACACACAAGGGAUCUGCAGUGUAAAAAAAAAGGGAGAAAAUAAAAUAAAUAAAAAGAUACAGGGAACCAUCAAAGUUGCCAUUGAGUGUGUUUUCUGCUUCACGUCUACCUUCUGGGCUUGCAGCAGCCCUACUCUCAAAAAUAGUUUCUUCCCCCAAAGAGCUUCUUUGGGGGAAAACCACACCUUCAUUUGCAAGUGAUUAUCAACUGGAGAUAGCUUUGGUUAGGACUGGCGCAGGCCCUGUGCAUGCUGCCCCCGUCUCUGUGAGUUCUGUGCACUGUCCUGCUGUGUCUGGAAGGCCUUGCUUCUUUAGUGUCCUCCACCCCCUCUGACUCUUAUUUUCCUUCUUCCUCCUCUUUAGCAGUCUUCCCUGAGCCUUGUGUGAAUAACGUAAAGAAACACCAAAGGCGUGACCUAGGGAAAUUCUGCAAUGCUUAAGACUCUUGAGAGGGAAAGAAGGGUUGUCCACUUUAAGUUUCCCAGGACAGCUGAGUUGAAGGAGGCCUCCGUGAACCAGUUGUAUUCGUGACAGCAAAGCCAGAUGAGGGAUGUCAGUGGGUUGAGGAAGCGUAAGGUCAUUCAGAAGACCAAGACCCAUUCACUUUGCUUAUGAGGAUUCGAGGAAAACCUGAAGCAUGGCGUUGAAGUCACACGGCUCCUAAUUCAGUCCUUAGAUCUGCCACUGCACUAGAGACGAGCCUUUGGCCCAUUAUUCUAAUUCCUUAGGCAUUAGCUAUCUAAUUUCCCAUGACUCAUAGUUCAGUUGUUGGUUUAGUAAUUUGAGGAAGUCAUUGUCGCCACUCAGACCGUUCUGGAGUACCCGGCUUCUAACUUUACUGUGCUCUAUUUCCCUUCAGGAACCAACAAUGGAAAACUUUUAUCCCAGCUAAUGAGAACCACAAAGCCGUAAACUACCUCACCACAGGGUGAGGGGAAAGGGCUGCCGUGGGUCCGUCUGCACAGGAGUUCCUCAGAGGAGUGUGGUGACUGACUCUUCACAGUGUGGAGGAUCUUCUCUGAGAGGAGUCAGAAACUCUGGAGGUGACCUUCGCUGACCCAGUCAGCUUCUCACAGGAGAGCUCACCAGCUGCACACACCACUGAUCUGGAGGAGGAAAGGAAUGCAGUUUUUGCUGAGAGAUGUAUAAAGUUCGUGGGGAUAAGCAGUGAUUGGCGAGACUCUCGGAAUUCACCUCUUGCCAUCGGCUCACUGAAAUCAGUCUGAUGUCUUGGUUACAAAUCCAACUUCGACACUUGUGUGUGCUCCCAAUGCUGCUGCUGACCUCCCUGCUCCCUUAGCUGUAAAGCAUAAACAAUCCAGUUGGUAACACUCAUCUGGUAAGGAUCCGGCCGGUGGUGUUUGCAAAGGGCUUAGCGCAGUGCCUGGCAUGCAUACGGCAGCUGUUAGGUUUACAGUGCUCAUCGUAAAGCACAUGGUCGUACGUGUGCUUUACACAUGCUGUACUUCUGUUCACAUCAGUCCUCUCAAGUGUUUGCUGAUCAAGGUUCCCAGAGGAGAGUGUGAAGAAGAAUCAACGUCACUUGUACUCCCUGCUGUAUUGGUUGGUCACCCUUGGACAUUUUUGUGGUCUCUGUUCACCUGGGUGACAUGCAGAAAUAUCUCAUUACAAAAAUGUAGAGGGGGGUGGGGAUUUAGCUCAGUGGUAGAGCACUUGCCUAGCAAGCUCAAGGCCCUGGGUUCGGUCCCCAUCUCCGAAAAAAAAAGAAAAAAGAAAAAAGAAAAACAAACAAGCAAAAA